rnacentral:lncRNA from 1 species
UGGGAAGUACCCUAAUUAGGAAGCACAAUUUUGUAUACUUCUUGCAAGUAGGGUACAACUCUUGACUAUUGGCUUCUUCCAACCUCUGAAGGGCAAGUAGCUCAUCACUAGGCUGAAAAGAACUGUUGUCUUCAAAAUCCCCUCUAUCAUCUAAACCACAAGCUAGAUCUCUAAGCAAUUCAGAUACAUCAUCUUCUUCAGUGGACUGUUCAAUAAGAUCAACAUCAACAUUAUUUCUAUGAUUCUCAUAAGAUGUACUUUCUUCUCCAUGUAAGUUCCAUGUUGUGUACCCUUGUAUAAACCCAUCGCAUAUUAGGUGCUCACGUACAUCACUAGCCUCUCUCCAAAAUGAGUUAAAUACAUUUUCUACAAGGACAUAAUAUCUUGUCCCCUACUGCUGAAUUUCUAAAUGCAAAAGCUAGAAAACCGUUCACCCCUUGUAAAUAUUUCUUUGUGUGCCUACAUGCAGGGAUGAAAACAGUACAGAUAUUUUGCGACCAUAUUCGAGACCAAAUUCGUUUAGGGGGUUCAGAUCUGUCCGUAUUCGAAUCCGAAUAAUCAACAUCUGAUACCGUAUCCGUAUCCGAAUACUUAAAUCGUAUAUUUAUGAUGUCGACAUCUAAUCCUAUCUUAUCCAAAAUGGUUGACAUUAUCCGUAUUCGAAUCCGAAUCCGACCAGAAAUAUAAAAACAAAUAUGGUAUCGGUGAUAUCCGUUCAUAUCCGAU